CAUAUUUCCCAAUACUGAGGAAAAGGAACCAACAGGGAUUGCCUCAGUAACGGCGAGUGAAGCGGCAAAAGCUCAAAUUUGAAAUCCCCCCGGGGAGUUGUAAUUUGAAGAUUGCGUCUUGGAGGCGACCGUGUCUAUGUUCCUUGGAACAGGACGUCACAGAGGGUGAGAAUCCCGUGCGGCACGGCCCCCGGCUCCUUAUAAGGCGCUCUCGACGAGUCGAGUUGUUUGGGAAUGCAGCUCAAAGUGGGUGGUAAAUUCCAUCUAAAGCUAAAUACAGGCGAGAGACCGAUAGCGAACAAGUACAGUGAUGGAAAGAUGAAAAGCACUUUGAAAAGAGAGUGAAACAGCACGUGAAAUUGUUGAAAGGGAAGGGCAUGCCGUCAGAUUGUCAGUGUGGGUAAGAAGCGGGGUACAAAGACUGUGGAACGUGGCCCUCGGGUGUUAUAGCCGCAGUUCAUGCCCCGUCUCUUUCCGAGGCCUGCUUUGAGGACACCGACGUAAUGACGGUACGCCGCCCGUCUUAAAAACCGGGAACAAA
rnacentral:rRNA from 1 species